rnacentral:rRNA from 1 species
GACGAACGCUGGCGGCGUGCUUAACACAUGCAAGUCGAGCGGAGCGGCGGACGGGUGAGUAAUGCCUAGGCAUCUGCCUGGUAGUGGGGGAUAACGUCCGGAAACGGGCGCUAAUACCGCAUAAUAUCAGAUGAGCCUAGGUCGGAUUAGCUAGUUGGUGGGGGAAAGGCCUCACAAGGCGACGAUCCGUAACUGGUCUGAGAGGAUGAUCAGUCAAACUGGACCUGGAACACGGUCCAGACUCCUACGGGAGGGAGCAGUGGGGAAUAUUGGAAAAUGGGCGAAAGCCUGAUCCAGCCAUGCGGCGUGUGUGAAGAAGGUCUUCGGAUUGUAAAGCACUUUAAGUUGGGAGGCGUUACCAACAGAAUAAGCACCGGCUAACUUCGUGCCAGCCGCCGCGGUAAUAC